GUCUGUACUCAUACUACCUGGAACAUGUCUGAUCUCAUCUGAUCUCAGACGCUAAGCAGGAUUAGGCCUGGUUAGUACUUGCA
rnacentral:rRNA from 1 species